rnacentral:tRNA from 1 species
GCUCAGUCGGUAGAGCAUCAGACUUUUAAUCUGAGGGUCAAGGGUUCGAGUCCCUUAUCGGGCG